rnacentral:rRNA from 1 species
GAUGAACGCUGGCGGCGUGCCUAAUACAUGCAAGUCGAGCGAACGGACGAGAAGCUUGCUUUUCUGAUGUUAGCGGCGGACGGGUGAGUAACACGUGGAUAACCUACCUAUAAGACUGGGAUAACUUCGGGAAACCGGAGCUAAUACCGGAUAAUAUUUUGAACCGCAUGGUUCAAAAGUGAAAGACGGUCUUGCUGUCACUUAUAGAUGGAUCCGCGCUGCAUUAGCUAGUUGGUAAGGUAACGGCUUACCAAGGCAACGAUGCAUAGCCAACCUGAGAGGGUGAUCGGCCACACCGGAACUGAGACACGGUCCAGACUCCUACGGGAGGCAGCAGUAGGGAAUCUUCCGCAAUGGGCGAAAGCCUGACGGAGCAACGCCGCGUGAGUGAUGAAGGUCUUCGGAUCGUAAAACUCUGUUAUUAGGGAAGAACAUAUGUGUAAGUAACUGUGCACAUCUUGACGGUACCUAAUCAGAAAGCCACGGCUAACUACGUG